rnacentral:rRNA from 1 species
GUGGGGAAUAUUGGACAAUGGGGGGAACCCUGAUCCAGCCAUGCCGCGUGUGUGAAGAAGGCCUUUUGGUUGUAAAGCACUUUAAGCGAGGAGGAGGCUACCGAGAUUAAUACUCUUGGAUAGUGGACGUUACUCGCAGAAUAAGCACCGACUAACUCUGUGCCAGCAGCCGCGGUAAUACAGAGGGUGCAAGCGUUAAUCGGAUUUACUGGGCGUAAAGCGCGCGUAGGUGGCCAAUUAAGUCAAAUGUGAAAUCCCCGAGCUUAACUUGGGAAUUGCAUUCGAUACUGGUUGGCUAGAGUAUGGGAGAGGAUGGUAGAAUUCCAGGUGUAGCGGUGAAAUGCGUAGAGAUCUGGAGGAAUACCGAUGGCGAAGGCAGCCAUCUGGCCUAAUACUGACACUGAGGUGCGAAAGCAUGGGGAGCAAACAGGAUUAGAAACCCUGGUAGUCC